rnacentral:rRNA from 1 species
GAAUUCGGCUUAGAGUUUGAUCAUGGCUCAGGAUGAACGCUGGCGGCGUGCCUAAGACAUGCAAGUCGAGUGGGUUUAGACCCACGGCGAACGGGUGAGUAAUACCUAGGAACGUUCUUUAAGUUGAGGAUAUCCCAUCGAAAGAUGGUGCAAUACUCAAUGUGGCAGUAAUGCUAAAGUCGUAAGACGCUUAAAGUGCGGCCUGGGCACCAUCAGCUAGUAGGUAAGGUAAUGGCUUACCAAGGCUAUGACGGUUAGGGGCCCCGAGAGGGGAGACCCCCACACUGGAACUGCGACACGGUCCAGACUCCUACGGGAGGCAGCAGUUUGGAAUUUUGGACAAUGGGCGAAAGCCUGAUCCAGCGACGCCGCGUGGACGAUGAAGGCCUUUGGGUUGUAAAGUCCUUUUGCUCGGGAACAAUAAUUUGAGCGUACCGAGAGAAUAAGAGGUUGCUAACUCUGUGCCAGCAGCAGCGGUAAUACAGAGACCUCAAGCGUUAUCCGGAAUCAUUGGGCGUAAAGCGUACCCGAUAGGUGGUUUGAAAAGCCAGAAGUUAAAUCUCCGAGCUCAACUC